GCGCUCGUGGCGGAAUUGGUAGACGCGCAUCGUUGAGGUCGAUGUUCUUAACCGAGUGGAAGUUCGAGUCUUCUCGAGCGCACCA
rnacentral:tRNA from 1 species